ACCGCCCGUCGCUCCUACCGAUUUCGAGUGAUCAGGUGAACCUCUCGGACUAAUGGGGAAGUUAAGUGAACCUUAUCACUUAGAGGAAGGAGAAGUCGUAACAAGGUAUCCGUAGGUGAACCUGCGGGAUGGAUCAUUA
rnacentral:rRNA from 1 species